rnacentral:rRNA from 1 species
AUUGAACGCUGGCGGCAUGCUUUACACAUGCAAGUCGAACGGUAACAGGUUAAGCUGACGAGUGGCGAACGGGUGAGUAAUGCAUCGGAACGUGCCCGAUCGUGGGGGCUAACGCAGCGAAAGCUGCGCUAACACCGCAUACGAUCUGAGGAUGAAAGGGGGGGACCGUAAGGCCCCGCGCGAUCGGAGCGGCAGAUGACAGAUUAGGUAGUUGGUGGGGUAAAGGCUCACCAAGCCAACGAUCUGUAGCUGGUCUGAGAGGACGACCAGCCACACUGGGACUGAGACACGGCCCAGACCCCUACGGGAGGCAGCAGUGGGGAAUUUUGGACAAUGGGCGAAAGCCUGAUCCAGCAAUGCCGCGUGCAGGAAGAAGGCCUUCGGGUUGUAAACUGCUUUUGUACGGAGCGAAAAGGUUUCCUCUAAUACAGGGGGCUCAUGACGGUACCGUAAGAAUAAGCACCGGCUAACUACGUGCCAGCCGCCGCAGUAA